rnacentral:rRNA from 1 species
CCUACGGGAGGCAGCAGUGGGGAAUAUUGCACAAUGGGGGAAACCCUGAUGCAGCGACGCCGCGUGAGUGAAGAAGUAUUUCGGUAUGUAAAGCUCUAUCAACAGGGAAGAAAACAGACGGUACCUGACUAAGAAGCCCCGGCUAACUACGUGCCAGCAGCCGCGGUAAUACGGAGGGGGCCAGCGUUAUCCGGCUUUCCUGGGUGUCAAGGGAGCGUAGACGGGAUGGCAAGUCUGAAGCGAAAGCCCAGGGCUUAACCCUGGGACUGCUUUUGAACCUGGUAGACUAGAGUGCUGGCGAGUUAAGUGGAAUUACUGGUGUAGCGGUGAAAUGCGUAGAUAUUAGGAGGAACACCAGUGGCGAAGGCGGCUUACUGGACAGUAACUGACGUUGAGGCUCGAAAGCGUGGGGAGCAAACAGGAUUAGAUACCCCAGUAGUC